AAUCUUCUUCUUCUCCCAUCAAAAUCUUACCGGUCCCCUUUUUCUCCUCCUCUCCCCUUCCACCGAAACCCUAGGGAUGGCGUCGCCGGCGUCUCGGUGCGUCCUGCUGGAUCCAGGUGUGCCCGACGUGUUCUCCAUCGGUCCAACGGAACAAGGGUGGGCGUCUAUCGACUUGAAGAAGAAGAGGUACCAAGGGUGAGGGAGGUACGGCCCCUUGUUGGCGGAGAGCGUGAAGCUCUAUGCGCGCCUCGCCGAGGAGCACCCGACUCUCUCUCGGUUGGCCGUCUGCGCCGACAAGAAUAUCAUCCACUUCAUCGUGGCGGAAGAACUCAAGAAGAAGCAAGCUUCCAAGGCCGCCGAAUCUUCACCCCCCGGCCUCAUGGUGCCGGAUCUGGCGAUUCGCGCCAUCGAGUUCGACAAGAUCGACGAGAUCUCAGGUGUCACUGCCCGCGUCGAGGUCGCAGACAAGAACCUCAUGGUCCUCUCCCUGUCCUUCGUCUUCACAUCUAGCAAGCACUACCUCCUCUAUGAUGCCAUUCACGCAUCCAUGUCCAUGAUCCCCAUCCCGAAUUGGUGCUGCGAUAUCUACUUACCGUCGAACCCUCUCCCUGUGCGGUACGGUGAUGAGUACGCCCUAGUCCUCUUUGCCAAGAACUAUCCCUACAAGAGAGAAGGACGAUCCACCUGCAUUGACUUGCUCUACCUGUGGACGCCUCCAAAGUCGUCGUCGCCUCCAACGUUGCUGCCACCGCCGCCACCGCCGCCGCGAGAGAAGAUGUACCCGAAUCCCUCCGGUGAACCGUGGCACACCAGGAAACCGCGCUUCUCGAAGGAGACGCCAGCGUCCUUCUGCCACCACGUCAAGUUCACAUCCAGUAGCCAUGCUUUCUGGGCUGAUCUCACCAAGGGCGUCCUGUGCUGCCGCAUCAAGGACCUCUUGGACAGCUUCUUCGUCCAUUUUGACUUCAUUGAGUUGCCCCCUGGGUGCAAGUCUGACGCCCUUGAUGACUCCGAUACUGGGCCAGCGGAGAUGUUCCGAACCAUGGGCUGCAGCACUGGGGACUUGAUCAAGUUUGUCUCCAUCUCCUUCGAUGAUUCUGUGCCGGAGGACGACAAGACGGUGACGGAGUGGACACUGGACAUGGGUACCUUGCAGUGGACCAAGGGCGAGGAGCUGCGCUUCGGAACUCUGUGGGAACUGGAUGACUUCAAGAAGGAUGGAUUACCGGAGACCGAGCCAGUGUACCCCCUGCUGAGCAUGGAGGAAGGCGAUGGUGGAGACCUUUACUUCAUACUGUCCAGGCCAAUCAUGCGGUGGGAGGACCCUGCGGUGCACCACGUCUGCCGAUUCAACAUGACAAGCAAGAAGCUUGUGUCCAACCCUCUUUCCUGGCGCCCAGAUAAGAUUGUUCCUUCUGGUUUGUUGGGCUGUGAAUUCUUCAGACACCUUGAUAGUCAGCGCCUUGUUCCUGACAAUAGGAAGAUGGAUGCGGGCAAAGUGCAAUCCUGGGUCGAGAUGGAGUCAGCAUUGGAGGAAGUUGAUGAAAGCAUGCAGAGAGAGAUAUCACGGAAGCAAAUGGUGUGGUCCGGGAGCCAGGUAGAUUUGUUUUGUGUCAAGAGCACUGAUGCUGUACCAGGAGGGAUCACGGAUGCUGCACAAGGAGGAGUAUCAGACGGGCUACAGGGAAAGCUGAUAAAGCCAAGGGAGUCCAACAAGACUUUGCGUCCGGCCAGGCAAAUCAAGGCAAAUCCUCGCUAUUAUGGACCAGAAUGGGCCGUGUAAUGUGAGCUGUAGACAGCUGUGUGGUGUUGCGAGUGAGAGAGGAAAGAAAUGAGUGGGUAGGUGAGAUUCAGAUAUAAACCGAUGUAACCAACUGAAGAAACUAAGAACUGGCAACUUGGAGGCGAUGGCGGCGGUGGCUCAAUCCUGUUGGAUUGGAGCAGAGUAAUCAAAAUUGGUUGCCUAAUCUCGUUCGUUCUUCCUUGAGUUUUGCUUUGUGUUUGAUUUAGAGUAGCUGUUAUCAUUUUGCCAGGCAAGUUAGGGAGAUCAGACUCUGAAUUCCAUCAUUCGAUGUUCGCAAGCUGGGUUCUUUAAUACUUCUGUUUAUCGGCACCAGUAUGUUUUUGCUUGUCGAUCUCACAAUCUUAUGUAUGCACUGAAGUAAUAUGAAUUUAUCUUGGGUUAACUGCUUUU
rnacentral:lncRNA from 1 species